GGGGAGAUACCAGAGUGGCCAAAUGGGACGGACUGUAAAUCCGUUGGGAAACCUACGAAGGUUCGAAUCCUUCUCUCCCCACCA
rnacentral:tRNA from 1 species